rnacentral:rRNA from 1 species
ACUAUGGAGAGUUUGAUCCUGGCUCAGGAUUAACGCUAGCGGCAGGCCUAAUACAUGCAAGUCGAGGGGCAGCAGGGUGUAGCAAUACAUCGCUGGCGACCGGCGCACGGGUGCGUAACACGUAUGCAACCUACCUUUAACUGGGGAAUAGCCCUCCGAAAGGAGGAUUAACACCGCAUAACAUCACGAGACGGCAUCGCCUUGUGAUCAAACCUCCGGGGGUUAAAGAUGGGCAUGCGUCCGAUUAGCUAGUUGGCGGGGUAACGGCCCACCAAGGCGACGAUCGGUAGGGGGUGUGAGAGCAUGACCCCCCACACGGGUACUGAGACACGGACCCGACUCCUACGGGAGGCAGCAGUAAGGAAUAUUGGACAAU